rnacentral:rRNA from 1 species
ACGUAGGAAUCUACCUGGUAGUGGGGGACAACAUGGUGAAAACCAUGCUAAUACCGCAUACGCCCCAUGGGGGAAAGCGGGGGAUCUUCGGACCUCGCGCUAUCAGAUGAGCCUGCGUAGGAUUAGCUUGUUGGUGAGGUAAAAGCUCACCAAGGCGACGAUCCUUAGCUGGUCUGAGAGGAUGAUCAGCCACACUGGAACUGAGACACGGUCCAGACUCCUACGGGAGGCAGCAGUGGGGAAUAUUGCGCAAUGGGCGAAAGCCUGACGCAGCCAUGCCGCGUGUGUGAAGAAGGCCCU